AUUGAACGCUGGCGGCAUGCUUUACACAUGCAAGUCGAACGGCAGCGCGGGCUUCGGCCUGGCGGCGAGUGGCGAACGGGUGAGUAAUACAUCGGAACGUGCCCAGUCGUGGGGGAUAGCUCGGCGAAAGCCGGAUUAAUACCGCAUACGACCUGAGGGUGAAAGCGGGGGAUCUUCGGACCUCGCGCUAUUGGAGCGGCCGUUGGCAGAUUAGCUAGUUGGUGGGGUAAGGGCCUACCAAGGCGACGAUCUGUAGCUGGUCUGAGAGGACGACCAGCCACACUGGGACUGAGACACGGCCCAGACUCCUACGGGAGGCAGCAGUGGGGAAUUUUGGACAAUGGGCGAAAGCCUGAUCCAGCAAUGCCGCGUGUGUGAUGAAGGCCUUCGGGUUGUAAAGCACUUUUGGCGGGAACGAAAAGGACUGUGCCAAUACCACGGUUCGAUGACGGUACCCACAGAAUAAGCACCGGCUAACUACGUG
rnacentral:rRNA from 1 species